rnacentral:rRNA from 1 species
UACGUAGGGUGCAAGCGUUGUCCGGAAUUAUUGGGCGUAAAGAGCUCGUAGGCGGUUUGUCGCGUCUGCUGUGAAAUCCCAGGGCUUAACCCUGGGCCUGCAGUGGGUACGGGCAAACUAGAGUGCGGUAGGGGGAUAUCGGAAUUCCUGGUGUAGCGGUGAAAUGCGCAGAUAUCAGGAGGAACACCGGUGGCGAAGGCGGCCAUCUGGACCAGCACUGACACUGAGGCACGAAAGCGUGGGGAGCAAACAGG